UACGUAGGGACCAAGCGUUGUUCGGAUUUACUGGGCGUAAAGGGCGCGUAGGCGGCGCUGUAAGUCACUUGUGAAAUCUCCGGGCUUAACUCGGAACGGUCAAGUGAUACUGCAGUGCUAGAGUGCAGAAAGGGCAAUCGGAAUUCUUGGUGUAGCGGUGAAAUGCGUAGAUAUCAAGAGGAACACCUGAGGCGAAGGCGGGUUGCUAGGCUGACACGUGACGCUGACAGCGCGAAAGCCAGGGGAGCAAACGGG
rnacentral:rRNA from 1 species